GAUGAAGAACGCAGCGAAAUGCGAUAAGUAAUGUGAAUUGCAGAAUUCAGUGAAUCAUCGAAUCUUUGAACGCACAUUGCGCCCGCCAGUAUUCUGGCGGGCAUGCCUGUUCGAGCGUCAUUACAACCCUCAGGCCCCCGGGCCUGGCGUUGGGGAUCGGCGGAAGCCCCCUGCGGGCACAACGCCGUCCCCCAAAUACAGUGGCGGUCCCGCCGCAGCUUCCAUUGCGUAGUAGCUAACACCUCGCAACUGGAGAGCGGCGCGGCCACGCCGUAAAACACCCAACUUCUGAAUGUUGACCUCGAAUCAGGUAGGAAUACCCGCUGAACUUAAGCAUAUAAUAAGCGGAGGA
rnacentral:misc_RNA from 1 species